CCAAAAAUCAUGUGUGCAACACACGUGCCUAUAUGGGCUUCAAAAACCGCUGCUAAUAACUCCCCACUCCCCAGUACUCGAUCCACUCCUAACAUCAAACCCUAUCACGCUGGCCGGAUUCUUCUCAAUUCCUCACCGGCGUGUGAAUUCUCAGGUAAUCUCGUCGUCUCUCUAUAAUCCUUGUCCUUUGUUGAUUCUGCAUCUUCGACUUAUUCCAUUGAAUUCUUUAUAUCUUACCUCUCAUCAAUCUCAACUGCGCGAAAACAAUCAAUUUGCAACUGAAAUCUAUGAGAUUUCAAUAAUCGUCUUCAGUAGGCCAAGGAUUGUUGCGAAUAAUCGUCUUCAGUAGGCUGAGGAUUGUUGUGAAUCAACCGAAAUCAGGUAAUUUUUCUUAGAAAUAGGAAAGGAUUUGUUCGCCUGGCUUUGGAGAAGGGUUGUCCUUUGGUUCCUGUGUUCAGCUUUGUCAAAGGUCUAUAAGUGGUGGAAGCCCAAUGGAAAGUUGUUCUUGCAAAUCGCCAGAGCUUUGAGGUUCACCCCUGUAUUUUUUGGGGAGUUUUUGGGUAUGUUUUAAACAUCGUUAGCUAAACAAAGUUGACAUGGAGAAUCUUCGUUAUGAUGUAUGCGUUUCCUUUUUAGAUUUUUCUUAUUCGAAGAGGAAUUUGAAUUCGUGUUGAAUACUUUUGUGUCUUUGGAAAUCGUGAUGCUCUUUAUCAGAAGGAAUAUGGAAAUUUAGCUUACUUAAGGAGACUCUCUGGUCAAUGGCCGUGAUCUAGCCACCUAGGAUCUAAAAGGAAGCACUAGUGGCUCAGGAUUACCCUUCUAUGGGGACCUUCCUUUUUGGAUUCACAGUUUUUUGUAUGUGACUAGGUGUCUCAGGUUACUUAUCUGAACUUUAAACUUAUGUCCUAAACUAUGAACCUGGUGUCGAUACGCUCCAGCGUUCUUAGAGAAUGAAAGAGGUUUUUAUACUGGUUGGCAAGGUCAAAGAGGUUUUGAUAACUUAAAUUAUCAAAAGCCUUACUCCUUCCUUGAAGAGCUAAAAUCUGGUAAAGGUAGAAGGUUUGAGUUAUCUGAUAUUGUAGGUCAUGUGGUUGAAUUUAGGCAAGUUUAUUGCAGUAUGCAAUCUUUCGAUUCAAUAUUAUUUUAACACCUUUUUUAGGAUAAAAGUGAUUUUGUACUUCUCUUUCAGUGUUGAUCAACACGGGAGUCGAUUUAUUCAACAAAAACUAGAAAACUGUAGCAUUGAGGACAAGGCAUCUGUGUUUCAAGAAGUUCUCCCUCAUGCUUCCAAAUUGAUGACGGAUGUUUUUGGAAAUUAUGUUAUUCAAAAGUUCUUUGAGUAUGGAACCCCUGAUCAGAGGAGGGACCUAGCUAAGGCACUUGCAGGUGAGAUCUUCCACUGAGCCUGCAGAUGUAUGGUUGUCGUGUCAUCCAAA